rnacentral:rRNA from 1 species
GACAGAGGGUGCAAACGUUGCUCGGAAUCACUGGGCGUAAAGGGCGUGUAGGCGGGAAGGAAAGUCAGAUGUGAAAGCCCCGGGCUCAACCUGGGAAUGGCGAUGGAUACUGGCUCGCUAGAGUGCGGUAGAGGAGAGUGGAAUUCCCGGUGUAGCAGUGAAAUGCGUAGAGAUCGGGAGGAACAUCAGUUGCGAAGGCGGCUCUCUGGACCAGCACUGACACUGAGGCACGAAAGCGUGGGGAGCAAACAGG